GCUGGAAUCCCUGUUGCAGCUCAGGCUGCCAUAGGUGCCAUAGGUGCCACUGUGGGUGCAGCUGUGGGUGGACCAUUGAUAUGCAGUGCAGGAGCCACAGGUGCUGUCGCAAGCGGAGGCAUCGUGGGAACUGCCGUGAGCUCAGUUGCCAGGUUAAUCGGCAACUGCACUGCGUAAAUGCCCCAAAAGGCCCUUCAGAAAAUGGGCAAUUGGUUUUACAGCAAGACCAGCAUACAAAAAAGACAAUUUACAAUACAUAAAAAAGUACAUUAAAAAAAACACAGGACCACACAAGACAAAACAACUACCUGCUUCCACCUAUACUUCCACCCACAUGCCCAAAUUUAGCAAAGAGAUAGAAGUAGGAAUAAAUGAAUGUUUGUACCUGUUACUCCUAACAGAAGGAAAUCUUAACCGAGAUCCUGAGGGUAAAAACAAACUCAAAGUAGAGAGGAUGGGAAGUAACCAUUAAGAUGGAUUGUGCUUUUCUAACUACCUGGCGAUUAUGUAGGUCGGUAGGAUGACUCUGCUGAACUCCUAAAAUCUUACUGCUAGUGUUAACAAUUUUCACCAGUGCAGUCUUUGCCUUAGACUGCCAUACCAGCAUAACAUAGCAAAUGCUAAAACAGACUCAAUAUAAGAGUCAUCAGGAAUCUAUUAACGUAAAAUUUGGACAGUCUCCAUAGACAGACGUUGCAGGCCCCUUUUACAAAUCUUCUCCACAUUGACAUUCAAAUUCAGCUUGUUAUCAAUCACACAUCCCAAAUACUUAUAUGAUUCCACAAACUCAACCUCCUGAUCUUUAAUAGUGGUUCUCUUUAUACCACUUUGAUUACGCCUAAAAUCAAUAUGCAUGUCUUUAGUUUUUAACACAUUUAUUUGCAGGAAUGCAUUAUCACACCACUGAACAAAAUCAUCUACCACGAGGCCAUGGUCAUUUUCAUCCGCAUGGAGGAGGCUGACAAUAGCUGAAUCAUCUGCAUAUUUUACAAUAAAUCUAUUCUCAUGCCUACUCCUGCGAUCGUCAGUGUAUAAAAUAUACAGGAGUGGAGAAAGCACACAUCCCUGAGGGGACCCUGUGGAUGAAGACAGUACCUCAGACAAACACCCAUUUACCCUUACUCUCUGAAUUGGAUCAGUUAGAAGGUCAAGGAUUCAACCAAUGAUACAAAAAUCAAAACCAAAGCUCAAAAGUUAAUUUCUCUACUAAAAUGUGAGGUUGAAUCAUAUUAAAAGCAGAUGAGAAAUCAACAAAUAAAAUUCUAGCAUUAGUCUUAGUUCCCUCUAAAUGCUU